UUGUCGUCAGCUCGUGUCGUGAGAUGUUGGGUUAAGUCCCGCAACGAGCGCAACCCUUGAUUUUAGUUGCCAGCAUUCAGUUGGGCACUCUAAAGUGACUGCCGGUGCAAGCCGGAGGAAGGUGGGGAUGACGUCAAAUCAUCAUGCCCCUUAUGACCUGGGCUACACACGUGCUACAAUGGAUGGUACAAAGGGUCGCGAAGCCGCGAGGUGGAGCCAAUCCCAUAAAACCAUUCUCAGUUCGGAUUGUAGGCUGCAACUCGCCUACAUGAAGCCGGAAUCGCUAGUAAUCGUGGAUCAGCAUGCCACGGUGAAUACGUUCCCGGGCCUUGUACACACCGCCCGUCACACCACGAGAGUUUGUAACACCCGAAGUCGGUAGGGUAACCUUUAUGGAGCCAGCCGCCGAAGGUGGGACAGAUAAUUGGGGUGAAGUCGUAACAAGGUAGCCGUAUCGGAAGGUGCGGCUGGAUCACCUCCUUUCUA
rnacentral:rRNA from 1 species